rnacentral:tRNA from 1 species
GCAGUGAUGGUUCAGUGGUAGAAUCCUCGCCUUCAAUGAGGGAGGCCCGGGUUAGAUUCCUGGCCAAUGAA